GCAAGGUUAAAACUCAAAUGAAUUGACGGGGGCCCGCACAAGCGGUGGAGCAUGUGGUUUAAUUCGACGCAACGCGAAGAACCUUACCAGGUCUUGACAUCCUAGAAACUUAGCAGAGAUGCUUUGGUGCCUUCGGGAAUCUAGUGACAGGUGCUGCAUGGCUGUCGUCAGCUCGUGUCGUGAGAUGUUGGGUUAAGUCCCGUAACGAGCGCAACCCUUGUCCUUAGUUGCCAGCACGUAAUGGUGGGAACUCUAAGGAGACUGCCGGUGACAAACCGGAGGAAGGCGGGGAUGACGUCAAGUCAGCAUGCCCCUUACACCCUGGGCUACACACGUGCUACACUGGGCGAGACAAUGAGAUGCAACUCUGUGAAGAUUAGCUAAUCUAUAAACUCGUUCUAAGUUCGGAUUGUAGGCUGCAACUCGCCUACAUGAAGGUGGAAUCGCUAGUAAUCGCUGGUCAGCUACACAGCGGUGAAUCCGUUCCCGGGCCUUGUACACACCGCCC
rnacentral:rRNA from 1 species